AUCUUAAAAAAUACCCUGAGCUCUCGUUUUUGUCUGUUCUGAAUCUUGUGUGUGCAUUUAUUUAUUUUUCAUAACCACUUCUAUGUGAGUCAAAUAAUAUGUAGGAUUCCCUAACAGGAAAACGUUGUAUAUGUCAAUGUGCACUUUGCUAAAACAAAGGUGUGUGUAGAUAAUUGGGCUAAAGCUAGCUGCUAACAGCUAAAGCUCGUUGUGCACACGGUCAAGCGCACCGAACACACCGCUGCUGUCUCCCACUGGAACACGUCGCCCACCAGCGUUCACCAAGACUACUUUCAGUCCCCGUUGUGCAGCACGGCCCCCUCAAGUUCACCUGAUGGGCGCUGUUGCUCGGUGGAAUACCAACAGGAUCUCAGACGCAGUGUUUGGCCUCAGAGGACGGAACCACAGGACGGCCUCAACUCCUGCUGCCGGUGUUACGUCCCUACUGGUUUUUGAACCUACUGGUUUGCCUACACGGGAGUGUUUGUGUUCACCGAACAGCGGCAGAUGUUGUCUGCUUGUGUCACCUGAUUCGUCACACAUUCGCAAACAGAUUGCUGAGAAUGUUCAGAACGAAUCACAUAUCCAUUGCAAUGAUUACGAUUGUAUAAGUGAGCACUACGCCUCUGCUACGUGUGAAGAAAUGAAUUUAAGAAAAUAUAUUUAAUGAAAGAUCGACACAACCUGGAUUCGAACCCUGUCGAGCAAAAUAAUAAUACGUUUCAAGACGGCUGCGCUACGCCGUCGACCACUCGAGCUUGAACAAUUCCUCAUUGUUUUCCUUAUUUGUGAUCCUAUUGUUCAUUGUCAGUAUCUCGGAAACGUUUUGGUUCAGGGUGAACUAAGACAUCUGGUGUAUAGUGGGCGUAUCGUGUAGGGUUGUCAAAAAUGACGUUUGAAUAUUCCCUUUAAAAAAACACAUAGCCUAAUGCGCAACCAGAAAUUCAAAUCUAUGUCAAUAACAAGACAAAUUAAUACAAUGAGACCUUCUUGCACCUGCAAUAAAUAAGUAAAUAUAAUAUGCGUUGAUAUUAGAUUGAUAGGUUUGCAUUUAUCCAUCGUAUUAAUAUCAUUCACACACAGUAAAUUAGGGCCAUCAUUCUACCUAUUUAAACAAUGUUUAGGACAGUUUUGCAUUUGUCCACCCUAUUACGGUACAUAUUUCGUACACUAGGCUCACCUUUUCCAUUAGGGACCAUUCGCUUGGGGUCAGCUCCAUUCUUGACAGUUUUUUCUCGAAGACGACAGCAGACACAGCUGCUUGCUGCUCCGAUGCACGGCAGAUCAUUUCAUAUGUGCUGUUCCGUCACGUUGGACAGCCGUUGAUCAGCUUCUCUAUUUUCAAUCCUAAUAGUUGUUGUUUCUGCUCAAGGAGGUAUCUGUUGACGGAAGAUUUGCUGUAAUGUGAGGCCGCCACUUUCAGCCUACUAACGGGGAUUUCAAUGGCUCUGACCCCGAGCCCUUUACGCACAUCACAACUUGUGGCGCACACAAUAAACUUGUGUGCGCCACACAUGGUAUAUUUACUGUUUGAAGAUGUCUCUCCACUGCAUAAUUAGUGGCAUUGUCCUUUGUGAUGGCAAUCACAGAUCCACUUUGUAUGUCAAAAACGUCCAAGAUCUCUUGAAUCCAUUUGCCUACAUUCUCUGCAGUGUGUUUUACCUGAAGCUCUUUUGUUCCUAGCACAUUGUUAUGCAUUUUCCAAUCCGCAUUAAUCCAAUGGGCUGUUACA